rnacentral:miRNA from 1 species
ACCCUUCCGGUCAACAAGGUAGAUGUACCUUGCUGAUUGGAAGGAAACCCUUCCGGUCAACGAGGUACAUGUACCUCAUCAACCGGAAGGAAACCCUUCUGAUCAGCGAGGUACAUCUACCUCAUUGACCGGAAGGCA